GACGAACGCUGGCGGCGUGCUUAACACAUGCAAGUCGAACGGAAAGGCCCUGCUUUUGUGGGGUGCUCGAGUGGCGAACGGGUGAGUAACACGUGAGUAACCUGCCCUUGACUUUGGGAUAACUUCAGGAAACUGGGGCUAAUACCGGAUAGGAGCUCCUGCUGCAUGGCGGGGGUUGGAAAGUUUCGGCGGUUGGGGAUGGACUCGCGGCUUAUCAGCUUGUUGGUGGGGUAGUGGCUUACCAAGGCUUUGACGGGUAGCCGGCCUGAGAGGGUGACCGGCCACAUUGGGACUGAGAUACGGCCCAGACUCCUACGGGAGGCAGCAGUGGGGAAUAUUGCACAAUGGGCGGAAGCCUGAUGCAGCAACGCCGCGUGCGGGAUGACGGCCUUCGGGUUGUAAACCGCUUUCGCCUGUGACGAAGCGUGAGUGGCGGUAAUGGGUAAAGAAGCACCGGCUAACUACGUG
rnacentral:rRNA from 1 species